ensembl:lncRNA
GAAGGAGUCGGGGGUGGAAAUACAAUUCCAUGAGGUGGUCAAGAGAAGACUCCCAGAAAAUGUGACACCUGAGCAAAGUCUUAAAGUAAGGAGUUUAUAUAUGAGUGGCUAAGGGAAAAGCCUUCUGGGAGGAAGGACAACUCAUGUGAGGGCCACAAAGUGCGAAUGUUCUUGGCCUAUUCCAGAAGCAGACAGGAGGCUAGAGUGGAUGGAACAAAGCAGGUGAGAGGGAGAAUACAGAAGCAGAGAAGAUGAGAACACACAAACCCCAGGGUGACAUUAUAAAGGGCAUUUUAGGUCAUGAUAAGGAUUAUGGCUUUUAGUUUAAGGAAAGGAGGACCCACUGAAAGGAGUAUGAGCAGAAGAGUAACAUUCUCUGACUUUUUUUUUUUAACCAAUUGAAGAAAGGGUAAUACGGAAAUUAGAAACUCAGGAAGGUUUGAAAUAACCUGGGCUGAAAAAAAUAGGCACUGAAUAAAAUCAUGAACAAACUCAGCCUGUGCCCUUAAGGCAUUCUUAGUAGAAAACACAGGCAUGAGUGAAUGUAAUUGUGUUACAGACUUUCUGUCACAGGUCAAAGGAGCGUACUCAAACCGGAUGUGGGCACCAGGAAGGAUGAUCAGUUGUGACUGGGUGGUGGAUGAGUGUGAUUGGGUUCCUCACAAAAGAGGAAACAAAAUUCCUCCUCUUCAGGAAAUGGCAUUUGCAUUCUACAAAUUAAACUCAACUUUUGUCAAGUGGUCCAUCAAUCUGCUCAAUAUUAAGCCAAAAUUGCUAUUAAAGUCACUGAAAGGUGGGCAUCAAAAGCUUUGAUGACAUUACAGAUUGCGAAAUGUGAAAACUGCUAAAGUUAGUUAAUGGGGCUGUUUUCCUUUUAAUGGCUCAUUUGGUUCCAAAAGGCUUGUUAAAAUAAAAACAAACAAACAGAAAUCAUUAGCUUUCUAGAUACAGGAUAUAACUUUUCAGAUACAAAGCAUUACAUAUACUACAAGGAGAGGAUGACCUAUUUUCUCUGUUCAAUUUUCACAUAUUUUCCCUUUUACUUGUCUUCUAAGUAUCUCCCUUCUGCUUUUAGGUCUUUUUUCUUCUUGAACAGCAACAAGAUCCAUACCAAUAUUUCAGACUUGCAAAAUUUACAAAAGAUUAAGCAGGCUAUAGGAGAUGUCAACCAACGCACAUUUCACAGGACGGAAAACAUUGUAAAGAAUAUAAAUUCCAUGAAUUAUUGCUCAUUCCUUGAAGGAGUCAAUCACCUGGAGUAUUUGAUAUCGCAUCCAACCACACAGGAUUCAGGAAGAACAAACUCUUUUCAUGGAAAGAAGCUUUGGUUCUAAAAAUCCUUAUCACAUGGAUUUGGCCUUGG